rnacentral:snRNA from 1 species
AUCUCACUCGGCCUUUUGGCUAUGAUCAAGUGUAGUAUCUGUUCUUAUCAGUGUGACAACUGAUAUGUCUCCAACUGGAGACUUGCUUGUCACAUCUAUUU